ensembl:lncRNA
AGAAAAUCGAUACUGCAGGCGUGCUCGGGGCAGGUGGCUGAUCCCCGGAGCUGAUUUACUCACACUCCCCCAUCUCAAAGGUCACUCGGGAAACUUCAUCAGGAACCGCCCCCCUCGCACCCGGGCUGGGGCGGGGUGAGAAGGCGGGUAAUUUAUACGCGUAAUUAUCCUCAUGGAGCGAGCAGAUGGGAGACUGUCUCCAGGGGACGCGGUGUACGAGGUCCCAUUUCUCACUGGGGCAGCAGGGACAGUUCCAAUUAACCAACUUGCCACAAACUGGCCCCCAGCAGAACUCAGGGGUUGGAGGGAGGAGAAAAAUGUUCAGCGUUCACAUUCGCGUCUGUUGUGGCUCAGCACCCGCUUGAAAGCUUCCUGUCCUCGCUCGCCAUAGUUAGAAGCGAUGUUCUCGGGUUUCCAGAGUCGGAGGCGGCUGCCAGGCCUGCUCACGUGCCAACUCCAGCCCACGCGGGUCCCUCCUCUCCUCGGCCAGGAGGCAAGUGUCGAUGGGGGUGCUCUCCACCCUGUGUGGGAACACAAGGAGCCCCGCAGGCACUGGUCCUGAGUCAAGGAAUGUGCAGUACCGUUGGGAGAGAUGAAGCGAUAGACAGGACCAUCUUCUCAGGCUAACUGGGGCUCCAGGGGAACCGGCGGAGUGGGCGAGAGCGGGCACUUGCAAGUGACAGACCCAGGUUCACAUGCCUGCUAAGCUCCGUAUCUAGCUAUGUCUGGAGCAAAUCUUUACGACCCUCUGAGCCUCAGUUUCCCUGAUCAACAAAGAUGUGCUGUCAACACCACCUGAGGGUUUUGAGGAAUGGCUGAGAUGACAUAGGUAAGGUAUUUCAUCGGAUUCUUUUCCCCUCUUCCUUUUUCGCUUUAAUUUCUCAGAAGGGCAGGCGGAGCCAUUCGCUUGGGGUGAGAAGGGAAGGACUUACGGGGGGCUGCGGUGUGAGCAGAGCUGUAAAGAAGAGUGUGGCAGACACUGCUGGUCUCCUCCAAGUAGCCACUUCUCCCUCCUACCAGGCCCCUGGCUUUGUUCAAGGCGGCACGGUGCCCAGCUAAGAUGCUCACUUUCCCAGAGUCCCUUGCAGCCAGUGGUGGCCACACAACCCCGUUCCAGCCAAUGAGACCUAAAUGGACGUCUGGAGGGCAUUCCUGAGAAUGCCCUCUUGCUUCUGUGACACAAGAACCACCUUACUUCCUUGUCUCUCCUUCCUGCCUGGAGAUGAAGCCGCCACUUUAGAACCAGAAGGUGAUUAGCCUGUGAAUGAGAACCAGUAAGACGAGGGCGCCAAGUGGAAAGACAGAAAGAGCACGGUACCUGGACAUCAGCGACGGAUACAGCAGAGGCCCUGCACUGCCCGCCUCUGGGCUUCUUGUGAUGUCAGGAAAACAAACCCAUCUUUAUGGAAGCCCCUCUUAGUUAGGUUUCCUGUUACUUGCCUCUGAAGGAUUCCUACAGGAUACAAAUGGUUUGCCAUGAUCUUGAGGAAUGGGACAGGCGUUCCGGCAGGAGGAAGGGCAGAAACAAGCGCAGGAAAGUAGAGAGGCACCAAGUCUGUGCAGCGGCUCCGGCUGCUGCUUCUCCACCAUCUGGCCAGGUCAGGGUGGGCUCAGUCCCCCACGCCAACGACUGGUCUAGGAAGGAGCAUGUGACCUACUACUGGCCAAUGAGACCUGAUGGGAAGUCUUCUGGAAGAUUCUAGAGAAUAUUUUCAGACUUCUAAGAAAAUACCCAAGAACAGACAGCUCCCCCCCUCCCCUCUCCUCUCAGACAUUUUUUGCAUCUGCAGCUGCCUGGGACUGUGGGCGGUCAUCCUGUCGUCAAGAGGGGAGUGGGCCUGUGGACAAAGCUGAUGCCCCAAAAUCACAGAACAGAAAGUGGAAAAGACCCAGUUUCCUUAACGACGUGCUCGAGCCACUGGAUGAACCAAACCGCAGCUACCUGAACUCCUGUGUGAAUGAUGACAGUCUCUGACGUCAUCGUCGUUGAAAACACCUGGAGUUGGGCUGAUGGUUACUUGCAGCCCAAGUCAUCCUAGUGGACGAGGGGGAGAAAGACGGAUUGAUCAUCAUCAGUUAGCCUGGCUGAUAGCGUCUGGUUGUCUUAAGUGGUUGCUUUCCUUAACCUUCCAGAGCAGGUCGUACACACCUGCCUCACGGCGGGACUGUUUCCGUCUUUGAUUAAGUCUGUGGGCCGGGCUGCCUGAGUUUGAAUCCUGCCUCUGCCAAUGUCUAGCUUUAUGACCUUGAGUGAGUUGUCUAAACUCUCCUUACUUUGCUUAUUUUUGGAAAAUAGAGAUGAUACCGGACCUACCUCAUGGAGUGGUUGUAAGGAUUCAGUGAGAGAAUAUGUGUAAAGAACGGUUCCCGGCAUGUGGAAUAAUAUUCCCAUUUUACAGAUAAGGAAAUCAAGGCACAGAAAAUUAAUGACAUUUGCCAAAGGUGCGCAUAACUGGCUGGAACAGCGCCCUUCGGGCAGGAGGUAUGAAAAAAUAACUGCCACGAGACCAGACUGCAAGCAUGGCGCACUGACACGGCACCGACCAGUCCACGUCGACUCCAAGAACUCAAAGGUCGCCACCACAGCAUGGCUGAUGAGUGGUGUGUGUCCACGUUCAGGAUCCAAACCCACAAACUCGGACUGCCAAAGUGGAGCACACGAACCUAACCACUACGCCACGGGGCUGGCCCUUUUUCUUCAUUUUUUAUGUGGGCCACCGCCACGGAAUGGCCGCUAACAGACAAGUGGUAACAAUGCGUAUCCACUGACCUCCUCUUCUGAUGACCGAUGAUUGCUGAAUCCGUCCUAUGUCAGGUGCUCUCCGAAGGGCUUUAUUUAGAUUGUGUUUAAUUCUCACGACCAUUCUGGAAGGUGUUAUUAAACCCAUUUUCUAGAGCAUGGAACUGACAUAAGGAGAAAUGAAGUCAUCACCCUGCUGAGCGGCAGGUGCAGGAUCCGACCCCGGCCAUCUGUGGCCUGCUUUGGUGGGCUGCCCGGUCCUCAAGGGCAGGUACACCUACUAUUGUUUGCAUUCCCAGGCUGGGCCUGUCUUGCAUGCAGUAGGUGUUCAAUAAGUAUGCACUAAGUGUCAAUAAAUAUCUGCAAAGGACUCCCCAGAUGAUAAAACACUUCACCCCUGUGAGCUGCUGUGUCUUCCCAGGAACCCUGGGAGGGAAAAUCAAUAUUCAAUAGAUUUGUAGAUUAACACAACGAGGCAUGAUGACAAAC